UACGGAGGGUGCAAGCGUUAAUCGGAAUUACUGGGCGUAAAGCGCGCGUAGGCGGUUACGUGAGUCGGGUGUGAAAGCCCCGGGCUUAACCUGGGAAUUGCAUUCGAUACUGCGUAGCUAGAGUCUAGGAGAGGGAAGGGGAAUUCCGGGUGUAGCGGUGAAAUGCGUAGAUAUCCGGAGGAACACCAGUGGCGAAGGCGCCUUCCUGGCCUAAGACUGACGCUGAAGCACGAAAGCGUGGGGAGCAAACAGG
rnacentral:misc_RNA from 1 species